UGGGGAAUAUUGCACAAUGGGCGCAAGCCUGAUGCAGCCAUGCCGCGUGUGUGAAGAAGGCCUUCGGGUUGUAAAGCACUUUCAGCGAGGAGGAAGGUGGUGAGCUUAAUACGCUCAUCAAUUGACGUUACUCGCAGAAGAAGCACCGGCUAACUCCGUGCCAGCAGCCGCGGUAAUACGGAGGGUGCAAGCGUUAAUCGGAAUUACUGGGCGUAAAGCGCACGCAGGCGGUUUGUUAAGUCAGAUGUGAAAUCCCCGGGCUCAACCUGGGAACUGCAUUUGAAACUGGCAAGCUAGAGUCUCGUAGAGGGGGGUAGAAUUCCAGGUGUAGCGGUGAAAUGCGUAGAGAUCUGGAGGAAUACCGGUGGCGAAGGCGGCCCCCUGGACGAAGACUGACGCUCAGGUGCGAAAAGCGUGGGGCAGCAAACAGGAUUAGAUACCCUGGUAGUCCAGCGCUGUAAAACGAUGUCGAUUUGGAGGUUGUGCCCUUGAGGCGUGGCUUCCGGAGCUAACGCGUUAAAUCGACCG
rnacentral:rRNA from 1 species